rnacentral:lncRNA from 1 species
CUAGGAAAGUCCUUGGAAUAUAUUAGGCUUGUAGAGAAUUCUAGAGAAAGAUCUUAUCUUGUAAAUAGUAAGGACUUGUGUAAUAUUUAAUAUUUACACACUAGCCCUUAGGAGACUAGUAUAUAAAGGGGAACAUUCAUUUGUAAUUCGCCAAGCAAACAUUUCAAGUUCCCUCUAAUACAAAGCUUUCUUUAACAAUUCUCUUAUGUUUUUUCUAACAUUCUCUUAGUGAUCUUGAGCGUAGUAAUGUUGACUUGGCAUAGUAAGAACGUGAGAAAGUUGUGCAAUAUCAUGAGAAAGUUAUCAAGUGCCGCACAUGUACCUAUUUAAUGACUAAGGACGUGAUGAUAUGAUGAUGUGAUAUUAGAGCGAAGGUUUUAACUAAGGGAAUGGAGAAUAGAGAAUUAGCGCUGCCAACACCCAAGUCAACGUCAUCCAGGAUGCUACUGACAAGACCGGUCGUAGCAAAAAGAGGAAUGCCACCAACAAGAGCCAGGAGGUGCCACCCGAGG